UCUCCCUCAUUCUCUCUCGAUGUCCCUCUCCUCCCUCUCUCUCGAUCUCUCUUUCCCUCGUUUUCUUCGACGUGUUGUUCCUUCUUCUAUCUGUCUCCAACAAUCGAAGAAAGUAGAAGAAAGAAGAGAAAAUCGAAGGUAAUGUCUUUCUGAAUGUCCAUCACUGGGUGCAUGUUAUGUUCCCUAUAACUUCAUAAGACCAGAGCAUUGACAUGGCAAGUUAUAUGGGAAGAGGAGACCCAUUAAAUGGUUCUGUGUACGUUUGUAACUUACCUCCUGGAACUGCUGAGAGUAUGCUGGCUGAUUUUUUUGGCACCAUAGCGUUGCUAAAGGUCAGCUAAUGCACACACCACCACAUAUGCCAGUGUGUUAGACAGGUGAAAUAUCCAAACCAUCAUCAGAAGGGUACCAAUGCAUAGAUUCCCUAUUCCAAGAAUCAGGUUGGUCCACUAGUCAGUUGGUCAGAAUUAAAUGAAUAAAUGUACGGUUAUGAAAAAAGCAGCCAAGGUUUUCUAAUCUGCAAACUUAAGCCUAGCCCCACUGUUAGUUGUUAAUACUUGUAAAACUAUGUUGUUGUUGUUGGUUUUUUUUUUUUUUGCUUGUAGAAUUAUACAUACGAAUGUUGAGCCUUUCAGCAGUUAGUUACUUUCUGUUCCACAUACAAUACUGUUUCCUAUCACUUCUAAUGUUGUUAGUCUCCCUAUAUAUUGUUACACAUACAAUUUGUUAUUGGUAGACUCUCAUGUCUUAUCUAAUGACACAAUACACGCUAAUAAUUAGCCAUUUGCAUUGAUUAGUUGUUACAUGAUAUUUCUAACAGCUUAACUUGAGUUAUUUGCAUGCCAAGUUUGCAAUUCAUAGGUAAUUUUUAAUGCCUGCGUAUCAUCCAUCACGCUCAGCCAGAGUAUAAAUCUUUUCUCGUUCUUAUGACCGAGCAGGUGAUGACUUGACUUGUAGCCGAUUCUACAGGAUAUUAAUCUUAAACCCAGAUGACUAGAGCAUGUGAAUCAACGUGCAUGGGUCUCACACUACAAGAAAAUGAAGCUUUACCGGCCCGUUUUUUACCGGUAAAUGUGAAGAAAAAGAAAAACUGGAAUUUAAUUGAAAUGAUAACAUAAGAUUGUGUUUCUAGGGUAUAUUUGAAGCAAAGAAGAGCUAGAAUGAUAAGUUCUAUUUUAUGUAGUUUUGAAUUCGCCGAGAUUUUGGUUUUCUGUUUGUAGAAUUUACGUUCUCUGAUGGGCAGGUGAAUUUGAAUUUCCUUGGAGUUUUAUUCUAUCUGUCAUUUUGGGGUAGGCGAUUUUGAUUUGUCCAAAAUGUGGUUAUUGUAAGUGUCAUUCAUGCAAGCAAUGGAUAAUCUAGUGGAAAUUAUUUGCAUCGAUUUGGAGGUGGUUCGGCAGCUUGGAUUUUGGCAAUUUUGGUGCUUUUGGAUUUUGAACCCAAAUCCAUGCCAAAAUCUUGUGUUUGGCACCUUGGAAUUUGGUGGAUUAGGAUUUGAAAUUGUCAAAAUUAAAAGGGCACUUUUCAUUUCCUGUUUAAAAGCUAGGUUGCAAGAUCUGAGGAUUUUCAUUCUUCUGCAACAGUCAUAUUUCAUAUUCCAUUCAUAAUCAUCACGAGUCCAACAUCUGGUCCCAUUUGGGUGUAGGGCCAAGCUCAUGAACUGUGUGAAUCAGUCAAGAUUCCACAUUUUGUGCUAUACAAAUUUUUUUUUCCUCUCAGAACUAUCACGAGAUCAAAUGUGAGCUCCUUGUUAAGACUACAAUCACGAGUGUUUCUGUCUACGGAUGAUAAGCAUUAUUCUUUCCCUUUGAGCAGUGUGGUGAAUGGGGCUCUGGAAUACCUUUCUAAGGAUCUUGCGAUUGCUGAGAACACCAUGCUACAAGGAAAGUGCAGCAAUGAUGCAUUUCUUUGAUCAUGAUGCAAAUCAGCAUUUAUUAUUCAUAUCAGUCCAAUUAAACUAAGUGUCAUGGCAUGCCACAAUUAACCUAUUUUAACCUUCUGACCUUACAAUUUCAUUCAAUCCACACUUGUUCACGCCUUAUGGAUUGUUAGCACAACCCUUGCAGGUGCCACUGUUGGUUCAUUCACUGGGGGAGCAUUAGCUGAUAAAUUUGGUAGAACAAGGACUUUUCAACUAGAUGCAAUCCCACUUGCAGUUGGAGCAUUUCUCUGGUCUGUGACAUAUCCUUUGACUCUUUGCACGCUGAGUAAUCAACCUCAGUCCAAGCUCUCCAGUUAGGCAGCAAUGUAGCAGUUUGUCCUCCAUGCUUGAUUAAGAAACACAUCAUUUGUAGUUUAUCUUUCAAAAGAAUAGAGCGAGCCAAAAGACUUCCUGGUGACCCAUGGGCUGAGUUAUGUCUAUUCCUAACUGAGCGAGCCAAAAGACCUCAAGUAGCCCAAAGGCCUAAUGACUGGGCACAUCCAAGCCUACCAUUCUUGUAAUAUUUUGAACCUUGGUGGCCUCUAAAUAUGUUAUCAAAGCCGUUGAUCUGAUGGGCCUCAAAUGGGUUUGCUGUUUGAACUUCUAUAUUAAACAAUUGCUGAACAUUGUAGUAUUUACUGAUCUGGUUUUUGGGAUUUUCUUCUUUCCUGCUCAAAGUAGAAAUGUUUAUAUUAUGAUUAUCAGCUAUUCAUACAGCAAACACACUCAUAAACGGCGAAAUCUGGAUUGAACUGAAUUCUAAACAAAAUGAAUUGUAUUUUUCACUGAUUUCUUUAAAACUAUAAUUUGAUUUUGGGUUUUCAGGGAUAUGUACUUCUCAUAAUCCAAGCACAUAAAAAGAGCCUCCAGCCGGCAGUGCCAUGCGAGAAGUCGUCGUGUGUGAAAGGUGGCCAAGCUCUAUUGUUUUACAGUGCAAUCUUCUUAAUGGCAUUGGGAGUGGGCGGGAUUCGAGGGGCACUUCCAGCUCUAGGUGUAGAUUAGUUUAACCAGAAGGAUUCCAAGGAGCGAAAAUACAUAGCGAGCUUCCUCAAUUGGUUCUUGCUCAGUAUAAAAGUAUCCAUCAAAGUUAUAGUAGCAUCUGUCUUGAAGAUGGGUUGCCAGUUAUCUUACUGCAUUCUGUUGUUAUUAUUCUCCUGUUCUUUCAGGUAUGAAUUUUCAACCCUGUUGCAACAAGUAUAAUACAUGUGAUGUUGUCUUUAAAUUGUUUGAGAAGUGCGAGUUAGAUCCUUGCACAGA